rnacentral:rRNA from 1 species
AUUGAACGCUGGCGGCAUGCCUUACACAUGCAAGUCGAACGGCAGCACGGGAGCAAUCCUGGUGGCGAGUGGCGAACCGGCGAGUAAAGUAUCGGAACGUGCCCAGUCGUGGGGGAUAACGUAGCGAAAGUUACGCUAAUACCGCAUACGGUCUAUGGAUCAAAACGGGGGAUCGCAAGACCUCGCGCGAUUGGAGCGGCCGAUAUCAGAUUAGGUAGUUGGUGGGGUAAAGGCUCACCAAGCCGACGAUCUGUAGCUGUUCGGAGAGGACGAGCAGCCACACGCGGACUGAGACACGGCCAAGACUCCUACGGGAGGCAGCAGUGGGGAAUUUUGGACAAUGGGCGCAAGCCUGAUCCAGCCAUGCCGCGUGCAGGAUGAAGGCCUUCGGGUUGUAAACUGCUUUUGUACGGAACGAAAAGGUUUGACUUAAUACGUUGGACUCAUGACGGUACCGUAAGAAUAAGCACCGGCUAACUACGUGCCAGCAGCCGCCGUAA